rnacentral:lncRNA from 12 species
AGUGAUCGAGGGCGGGUUGAGAGAACGAGACUGAGCACCAGUGGGGCUCCUCUCUUGCCCAAGGCCAGACUCCAGGUUGAGUCGGCUGGAGGGGAGGCCUGGUGGCCAGGGGUUCUCCCAGGGACUGUCAACGGUCAGGGCUGCAGGAAUGUGUAAGGUGACACAAGAACAUACUGUGAAAUGGUGCUGACAGGUGGGUCGCCUCAACUGGAAAGCGUUCAGAGCUCAUUAUGGGAUGACUGAUUUCAGGAACAAGCUGCAAACUCGCUAACGACUCAUAAUACCGUUUCCAUAUUAAAAUGAGUUGUGUAUUCCACGCAACCAACGUGAAAACAGAAAUUUGAAAGCAUCGUGGGCCGCAGGUCCUUGGAUAACGGGUUGUGGGUCGUGGCGCAGCCGGCCGGGCCCGCUAGGUGGCAGUGUGGUCGUGACUUGCCGGGAGCGGGAGCACAAGACCUCAGUCUGCAGCUGCUGGUUUUUUCAGACAUUUAGAAAUUCCCAUAGAAAAUCCCGGUGGAAGAGAGGAUGGCAAGUCAAACAACGAACCACGUGAGCAUCACUGGCGUGCAACAUGGAGCUGUUUUACUGUAGUUAACCAUGGAGCAUCUCAUGAAACGUCAGAGUAGCAGCGUCGUCUGGUUCUUCCCAUAGGUGAAUGUUGAACGUAUGGAACAGAUAGAAAAUGGAUGGGAGCGGACGGUGGAGACGUCUCCCCAGCGCUGACACAUGCCAGCCCCCCUAGCUGGGCCUUCAUGGGUUUUCUGUCCCGGGCUUUACUUCGUCCUUACUGAUUUUUAUCUUGAAGUGAUCUCUAUGCUCAAUACGGGCCUCGAACUCACAACCCCAAGCUCGAGAGUCGUCGUGGGCUCUACCCACUGAGCCAGCCACACGCCCCUGGGACAUUGAAAGAACAUAUUCUUUGUGAGGAAAGGUGGGACACUUCAUAAAUAAGCCUUUAAAAUAUUUUUUUACAUUUUAGAUUGAUCGAAUUAAUUAAAUGAUUAAAUAUCAGGAUGAUAGUUAAGAAAUAUAAUCUGAAUUCCAAAAUAUGGAUUUAAAAUAG